ACCGUUAUGGGAGAGCAAUACACCACCGUCGACACCAACACAUUACGAACGCCGUUCACAUAUCUUGCCAUUCGACGGCGUUACGAAUUGCCAGAGAAAAUUGUGCAAUUGAGAGAGAACGAAGAGAAAAUCAACAAUGCCCCCUACGCGGCAUUGCCAACUCUCCGUCUGGUGGUAUCAAUGCGUUGCCAUUGUAAUUUAUGUCAGUGGUAAACAUAAACAUCUGCAUAUUUUUUACAGUUUAACUUUAACUUUGGUCGUGAGAACAACGUUGUACGGUUUUAAAGGUAAAGGUAAAUUGUUAUUGAUAUCAUCAAAACAACAACCAAGUGAGUGAUUGAAAGAAAAAUCAAAUCAAUUGAAAAACCCUUCACAAAAAAGAAAAA